rnacentral:rRNA from 1 species
AAUGCCUAGGAAUCUGCCUGGUAGUGGGGGAUAACGUUCGGAAACGGACGCUAAUACCGCAUACGUCCUACGGGAGAAAGCAGGGGACCUUCGGGCCUUGCGCUAUCAGAUGAGCCUAGGUCGGAUUAGCUAGUUGGUGAGGUAAUGGCUCACCAAGGCGACGAUCCGUAACUGGUCUGAGAGGAUGAUCAGUCACACUGGAACUGAGACACGGUCCAGACUCCUACGGGAGGCAGCAGUGGGGAAUAUUGGACAAUGGGCGAAAGCCUGAUCCAGCCAUGCCGCGUGUGUGAAGAAGGUCUUCGGAUUGUAAAGCACUUUAAGUUGGGAGGAAGGGUUGUAGAUUAAUACUCUGCAAUUUUGACGUUACCGACAGAAUAAGCACCGGCUAACUCUGUGCCAGCAGCCGCGGUAAUACAGAGGGUGCAAGCGUUAAUCGGAAUUACUGGGCGUAAAGCGCGCGUAGGUGGUUUGUUAAGUUGGAUGUGAAAUCCCCGGGCUCAACCUGGGAACUGCAUUCAAAACUGACUGACUGGAGUAUGGUAGAGGGUGGUGGAAUUUCCUGUGUAGCGGUGAAAUGCGUAGAUAUAGGAAGG